rnacentral:rRNA from 1 species
GAUGAACGCUGACAGAAUGCUUAACACAUGCAAGUCUACUUGAUUCUACUUCGGUAGUUGAUGGUGGCGGACGGGUGAGUAACGCGUAAAGAAUCUGCCCUUUAGUUUGGGAUAACCUUUGGAAACGAAGGCUAAUACCGGAUAUUAUGGAGACGUCGCAUGGCGACUCCAUGUAAGCUAUAUGCGCUAGAGGAGGACUUUGCGUCCCAUUAGUUAGUUGGUGAGGUAAUGGCUCACCAAGACCGCGAUGGGUAGCCGGCCUGAGAGGGUGAUCGGCCACAAGGGAACAGAGACACGGUCCUUACUCCGACGGGAGGCAGCAGUGGGGAAUAUUGGACAAUGGGCCACAAGCCUGAUCCAGCAAUUCUGUGGGCACGAUGAAGGUCUUUGGAUUGUAAAGUGCUUUCAGUAGGGAAGAAAAAAAUUACGGUACCUACAGAAGAAGCGACGGCUAAAUAUGUGCCAGCAGCCGCAGUAAUAC